rnacentral:lncRNA from 1 species
GGUGAAGUGACAGUAAGAAUGUGCUGAAAGAAUAAAAUAAUCUUAUAUCCAAUUUAUUAAUAGGAUGACCUCUGAAGCAUAGCACUGAGCAGACUGCUGGUCCUGUCCAUUGUUUUAUCUGACCAUGUCCUGAAGAUGAGAGACUUACAUGUGGAGCAAAGUCAUCCAAUCAGUAUGAAUUGGAGAUGUAUGGAAAAGCAUCAGUGUGUGGCUGUCUACGUCAUCCCAGGGUCCCUCUUUCGUGCUGCCCUGUGGGUCAAGACGUAUUUGCCACACCCAAAAGUGUCUGCCCCGUGAGACCACGGAAUUUCCUAUGCUACUUCUCUAGCGCUGGCGUCACAGGUUUGGGAUUCCUCAUGCAGAGAGAGUGGAGUAUCCCUCGCCUAUCACAAACUGCUAAAAACACCCAGCGACCACCUUUAAAUAAACCAGUCUAUGAGCCUCACCUUGCUCCUGGUUCACACGUGUGCAUCCUGUAUCCCCUCCUCCCCGGGCUGCUGCAGGCAGCGCUGCAGCAUUGCUCCUGCCUGAAGGAUGAGCCGGAGAGGGCUAAUAUACAAAGGAUGGACUGA